CGCGUAGGCGGCCGAGCGGGUCGCGGGUGAAAUCCUCCAGCUUAACUGGAGAACUGCCCUCGAUACCACUGCGGCUCGAGGAAGGAAGGGGCAAUCGGAACUGUCGGUGGAGCGGUGAAAUGCGUUGAUAUCGACAGGAACGCCGGUGGCGAAAGCGGAUUGCUGGUCCUUUUCUGACGCUGAGGCGCGAAAGCCAGGGGAGCAAACGGGAUUAGAUACCCCGGUAGUCCUGGCCUUAAACGAUGAGAACUAGGUAGUGGGUCCGACCUGGGCACACUGCCGAAGCGAAAGUCUUAAGUUCUCCGCCUGGGGAGUAUGGUCGCAAGGCUGAA
rnacentral:rRNA from 1 species